CGGGAGGCCGAGAGGGGGCAGCAGGCGAUGGCGGCGGCAGCGGCGGCGGGUCGUCUAGGCUGGUUGCUCGCCGCGCUGUGCCUGGGAAACGCCGCCGGGGAGGCGGCGUCGGGCCCGCGAGUGUUGGGCGUCUGUCUGGAGAAGGACGGAGCCGCGGACGCGGGGUGGGAGCGCGGAGGAGAGGUGCGGGCCGCACCGGAGGCCACCUUCCGCCUGCGCCUCUUCGGCUCCGGCUUGGCCAACAGCUCCUGGUCCUGGGUGGCCCCCGAGGGGGCGGGCUGCCCCGAGGGCGGGCCGGCCGCGUCUCCUGAGGAGGCGGCGGCCCCCACAGGCGAGUGGCGCGCACUGCUGCGCCUGCGCGCCGAGGCCGCGCGCCCGCACUCGGCGCUGCUGGCGGUGCGCGGGGAGCCGGACGGCUCGGCGGCCCGGGAGGCGGCGGCCCCAGCGGGCGAGUGGAGCGCGCUGCUGCGCCUGCGCGCCGAGGCCGUGCGCCCGCAUUCGGCGCUGCUGGCCUUGCGCGUGGAGCCAGGCGGCUCGGCAGCCGAGGAGGCGGCGCCGCCCUGGGCGCUGGGCCUGGGGGCGGCGGGGCUGCUGGCGCUGGCGGCGCUGGCGCGGGGCCUGCAGCUGAGCGCGCUGGCGCUGGCGCCCGCCGAGGUGCAGGUGCUGCGCGAGAGCGGCUCGGAGGCCGAGCGCGCGGCGGCGCGGCGCCUAGAGCCCGUGCGGCGCUGGGCCGGCUGCGCCCUGGGCGCGCUGUUGCUACUGGCCAGCCUGGCGCAGGCGGCGCUGGCGGUGCUGCUGUACCGCGCGGCCGGCCAGCGCGCCGUGCCCGCCGUGCUGGGCAGCGCGGGGCUCGUGUUCCUGGUGGGCGAGGUGGUGCCGGCUGCCGUGAGCGGGCGCUGGGCGUUGGCGCUGGCGCCGCGCGCGCUGCUGCUCAGCCGCCUGGCCGUGCUGCUGACCCUGCCGGUGGCGCUGCCCGUGGGCCAGUUGCUGGAGCUGGCGGCGCGGCCCGGGCGGCUGCGCGAGCGCGUGCUAGAGCUGGCCCGCGGUGGCGGCGACCCCUACAGCGAUCUCAGCAAGGGCGUGCUGCGCUGCCGGACCGUGGAGGACGUGCUCACGCCGCUCGAGGACUGCUUCAUGCUGGAUGCCAGCGCCGUGCUGGACUUCGGCGUCCUGGCCAGCAUCAUGCAGAGCGGCCACACGCGCAUCCCAGUGUACGAGGAGGAGCGCUCCAACAUCGUGGACAUGCUCUACCUCAAGGACUUGGCCUUCGUGGAUCCCGAAGACUGCACGCCGCUCAGCACCAUCACCCGCUUCUACAACCAUCCGCUCCACUUCGUCUUCAACGACACCAAGCUGGACGCUGUCCUGGAGGAGUUCAAACGAGGGAAGUCCCACCUGGCCAUCGUGCAGAAGGUGAACAACGAGGGUGAAGGUGACCCCUUCUACGAGGUGCUGGGCCUGGUCACCCUGGAGGACGUCAUUGAGGAGAUCAUCAAGUCUGAGAUCCUGGACGAGUCUGAGGACUACCGAGAUGCUGCUGUGCGGAAGAAGCCUGCUCCUCUGAGUGCCCCCCUCAGGCCGAAAGAGGAAUUCUCCUUGUUCAAGGUGUCUGACGAUGAACAUAAAGUGAAAAUCUCGCCUCAGCUGCUCUUGGCCACCCAGCGCUUCCUGUCCCGAGAGGUGGAUGUAUUCAGCCCCCUGCGAGUCUCCGAGAAGGUCCUGAUGCACCUGCUGAAGCAUCCCAGCGUCAACCAGGAAGUGAGGUUUGACGAGAGCAACCGUCUGGCCGCACACCAUUAUCUGUACCAGCGCAGCCAGCCAGUGGACUAUUUCAUUCUCAUCCUGCAGGGCAGGGUUGAGGUGGAGAUCGGGAAAGAGGGCCUGAAGUUUGAGAAUGGGGCCUUCACCUACUAUGGAGUGUCUGCCCUGACAGCACCAUCCUCAGUUCACCAGUCCCCGGUGUCCUCGCUCCAGUCCAUCCGCCACGACCUGCAGCCCGAGCCAGCCGACGGUGCCCGCUUGUGUGCGUACUGUCCUGACUACACCGUGAGGGCCCUCUCGGACCUGCAGCUCAUUAAGGUCACGCGGCUGCAGUACCUCAAUGCACUCCUGGCUACUCGAGCCCAGAACCUGCCACAGUCCCCGGAGAACGCAGACCUCCAGGUCAUCCCAGGCAGCCAGACCAGGCUCCUCGGUGACAAGACAGCCACGGCAGCAGCCUUCCCCAUAGACCUUUCCCUCUUUGGCACAUUUGGAAACUGCAGUUGAUAAUUGACUGUGGACUAGUGAGCAUUUUUUGUUUUCAGAAAACACCCAAGGGCCCAACCACAGCAGACCCGGCCUCCCAGCGGAGGAGAGCCCUGGGCGGAACCCAGGGGUUUAACUGCUUGCCAGGCAGCCCCAGCUCUGGGGAAUGGACAAGCACGUGGGGAACUGGAGAGCCGAGGAGUAGCUUGUCAGCCUGUCCCCAUCCCCUGCAGGCCACGUUUUAGAUGGCCCUUAUAGAUGUGGGUCCUGGGCUGUCCUCAGAACCAGACCUCAGUGCCGGGAGCCUUCAGCGGGUCCUGCCCCCCUUUAGGAAAUGGGGGUCAGUUGGGGCACAGCCCUCCAGGCCUGCUUCUGAAGGGAAUGAAAAGACACUGUCAUCUGUGGUCCCCAGGACCCAGCCUUCUCCCUGUGACAGUGCAGUGUAUUUAUACCUCUUUGGGCCAAGCCAUGAUGUGAGUGCACGAUUACUGCCUUUACGUGGCCGUGACCUGUACUCGCUUCGCUUUUAAUUUGCCAACCUGCUGCUGCUGGCGGCACUUUGAGCAAACCGGGAGCACUAGUUGGGGCUGGGGGGUUCACAUCCUUGGCCGUAGCCACAGUGAACGAUUUGGCUUCCCUUACAGUGCCGUGUUUCAGAGCACGCGCCCCAGCCUGCCCCAUGUGCCAGACCUCAAACUCGAUGACCCACCGGUAUGCGCCACUGUCCUGCUCCCUCCUGUGGAGGUCGCUUCUCUGAGCCCUGUGCUCAGAGCCCUGCGCGAGAGUUGGCCCCCAGUGGCACUGAGGAGGCCUGCUCCUUCUGCUUCUCUGCCUGUCUUGCCUAGGUGCUUCUAAUGGUAUCAUCACUUAGUGUGUUUGAAGAAGAGAGGUCACCCGUGGGAGGAAGGGCUGUGCUGCCCCUAACCCUUUCUCAGUUGCUGGAUCCCAGGGAGAGGAUCCCCUCGUUAGAUCUACUUUGUACCUUCUUCCUAGGCCUCCAUGGAGAGCUGGCUGGCUGUCAUUUGCACAGAGAGAGGCAGGGGAGGGAAGAGUUGGUUAUGGAGCAGGUAGAACCUCAUCCCCUUCCUUUAAAAAAACCAAAACCCGUCAGUUUUUCUUGUAUCUCUGAAACAUUUCAGCUCUUUGCUUUUUUGCUGUUCUUAGCUAUGGGGUUUUAGAGAAUUGGGAACAAGAAGGCAUUUAUGUUUUUCUUCUGACUUACCCAUUUUUACCUUCUACAGUUCUUCAACUAUGCAGAAACGGGCGUCCCAGACACGUAGGAUUGCAGAUUGGAUAGGGAGGGAGGAGGAUUUCUGGAACCUUUCUCAAAGGAAUUUGGGUCCCUUACCUGGGACCGGUGGGGAUGAAGGCCAAAGAACAAUGGCAUGCUUGCUUAGAAACUUCUCAAGGAAUUCUAAGAGCAAACCCGGGUGGGAAGCAUACUUUAUAAUCAUCUCUCUCCAGAACAGUGGUUCUUAACCUUGGCUGCAGGUUAGAAUCACCUGGCAAAUUGAAAAAUACUGAUACCUGAUACUUGGGGCCUCCUCUUCUGGGGAGCCUGAUUUAAUUGAUCUGGGCAUGAGGAUUUUAUUUUUUGAAACAAUUUUAAUUAAAAAAAAAAAAAAUUUUUUUUUUUUUUUUUUUUUUUUAAGUAAGCUCCACACCCAACAUGGGGCUUGAACUCCCGACCCUGAGAUCAAGAGUCGCAUGCUCUACUGAGUCAGGCAGGCUCCCCUUAAACAAUUUUAGAGUUACGUAAGAGUGAAGGGUUAUAUCCAUAUACCCUUCACCCAGCUUCCCCUAAUGUUACCAUCUUACAUAUAACCUGGUACAUCUAUCAGAACUAAAAAAAUUAACAUUGGUACAAAUCUGUUAAGUAAAUUACUGACUUUAUUUGGAUCUUAACGGUUUCUCCAGUAAUGACCUUUUUCUGUUGCAGGAUCCAACUCUGGAUACCAAGUUGCAUUUAGAGUUACUGCUUUUUUCUAAGUCUUUAUUUUGAUCCAUAGGAAGUUGCAAGCUAGAGGGACCCUUCACCCAGUUUUCCACAGUGGUUACUCGUACAUAGUUAGAACACAGUAUCAAAACCACGAAGCUGACACUGGCACAAUGUGGGUGAUCAUUCUCUGCCCUCCCAAGUAGAUCUGGGUGGCUGCCACUGCCCUCUCGACAGAGCCAUCCCACCACCAUGGGGACCUCCUUCCUGUUAGAGCCACCCCAGCCCCUCGGCCUCCAUCCCUAAUCCCUGGCAACCACUGAUCUAAGAUUUUGUCAUUUCAAGAAUCAUACAGUACGUGACCAUUUGGGAUUGGCUUUUUUCACUCAGCAGAAUAUUCCGGAGAUGCAUCCAGGUUGUUGUGUGUGUCAGUAGUUCAUUCCUUUUGAUUGCUGUGUAGUAUUCCUCGAUAUGUUCACUGUCCCGAUGAAGGACAUCUGGGUGGUUUCCAGUUUUCGGCUAUUCCAAAUAAAGCUGCUAUGAACAUUC